GACGAACCGUGCGAACGUUGUUCGGAAUCACUGGGCUUAAAGGGCGCGUAGGCGGGCUGGUAAGUCAGGGGUGAAAGCCCACGGCCCAACCGUGGAAGUGCCUUUGAUACUGCCGGCCUCGAGGGAGGUAGGGGCGUGCGGAACUUCCGGUGGAGCGGUGAAAUGCGUAGAUAUCGCUUGGAACGCCGAAGGUGAAAACAGGUUGCUGGGGAUGUGCCGACGCUGAGACACGAAAGCCAGGGGAGCAAACGGG
rnacentral:rRNA from 1 species